AGUGAACGCUGGCGGUAGGCCUAACACAUGCAAGUCGAACGGCAGCACAGUAAGAUCUUGCUCUUACGGGUGGCGACUGGCGGACGGGUGAGGAAUACAUCGGAAUCUUCUUUUUCUUGGGGGAUAUCGUAGGGCAACUUACGCUAAUACCUCAUACGACCUACGGGUGGAAGCAGGGGAUCUUCGGACCUUGCCCGACUGAAUGAGCCGAUGUCGGAUUAGCUAGUUGGCUGGGUAAAGGCCCACCAAGGCGACGAUCCGUAGCUGGUCUGAGAGGAUGAUCGGCCACACUGGAACUGAGACACGGUCCAGACUCCUACGGGAGGCAGCAGUGGGGAAUAUUGGACAAUGGGCGAAAGCCUGAUCCAGCAAUACCGCGUGGGUGAAGAAGGCCUUCGGGUUGUAAAGCCCUUUUGUUGGGAAAGAAAAGAAGCAGGUUAAUACCCCGAUGUUCUGACGGUACCCAAAGAGUAAGCAACGGCUAACUUCGUG
rnacentral:rRNA from 1 species